rnacentral:rRNA from 1 species
UACGUAGGGUGCGAGCGUUAAUCGGAAUUACUGGGCGUAAAGCGUGCGCAGGCGGUUUUGUAAGCCAGAUGUGAAAUCCCCAGGCUUAACCUGGGAACUGCAUCCGAUACUGGAUGGCUUGAAUUCGGGAGAGGGAUGCAGAAUUCCAGGUGUAGCGGUGAAAUGCGUAGAUAUCUGGAGGAAUACCGGUGGCGAAGGCGGCAUCCUGGACCGACAUUGACGCUGAACGGCGAAAGCUAGGGGAGCAAACGGG